UGGGGAAUAUUGGACAAUGGGCGCAAGCCUGAUCCAGCCAUGCCGCGUGAGUGAUGAAGGCCCUAGGGUUGUAAAGCUCUUUCACCGGUGAAGAUAAUGACGGUAACCGGAGAAGAAGCCCCGGCUAACUCCGUGCCAGCAGCCGCGGUAAUACGAAGGGGGCUAGCGUUGUUCGGAUUUACUGGGCGUAAAGCGCACGUAGGCGGACUUUUAAGUCAGGGUUGAAAUCCCGGGGCUCAACCCCGGAACUGCCUUUGAUACUGGAAGUCUUGAGUAUGGUAGAGGUGAGUGGAAUUCCGAGUGUAGAGGUGAAAUUCGUAGAUAUUCGGAGGAACACCAGUGGCGAAGGAGGCUCACUGGACCAUUACUGACGCUGAGGUGCGAAAGCGUGGGGAGCAAACAGG
rnacentral:rRNA from 1 species